UCACAGACAAUGAUAGGACAGCUACGGCAUUGGAGAUGCAUUACUACCACGACCUCGUAUAAAAAAGUGAAAUAACAGUGAUUUAUUCUACUUUAUCUCUUCAUUAUCAAGCUUUGUCAUUCCUCAUAUUCGAUGAGGUGGAACUGACAGCAUGCAGCCGAGGGACAGGACAUUGUAAAUAGCAACAGUGCGCUCAGGACAGGAGGAGGUUCAAGAGAUUGAGGACCAAAACAAUCUGAACAAUAAAAUCAACAGUCAUGGCUGCAGAGAAUAACUUCCCUCCAAUACCGGGGUUCAUCCCCCUGCAGCCGUGUUUCUACCAGGACUUUGAUGAGGAGAUCCCUGAACAGCAUCGCACCAUGUGCAAGAGACUCUACCACCUGUGGAUCUAUCCCCCCCAUUAAGUGAUAAACAUGUAAACAGGUAUUCUGUACCUCUGUGUUUGCACUUAUACACCAAAACCAGUGUUGAUGGAAUGUUGUGCUUGUUCUGCAUGUUGAUUGAUUGAUGUUUCUAUGAGUUUAUGUGUCUAUGAUUUCAGUCAUUCUAAAAUGUAACCCCUUAAACUCACCUCAUUGAAAAGUCACCCUUGUCACAUUAGAUGUAUUGGUCAAGAAUAGACAGAAUUGUACAGAAAACUCAAAGGUAUUCUUUGCUCAACUUAACCAAUUAAAAUACUUUUAGCCUUCACUUUGUUUCUUUGCCUGAGAUGAAAAAAAGACUAAUCACUUAAUGGGUCUAUUAUUAUAGCUCUGGUUGGGUUUGUAAAAUACUAAUCACUUAAUGGAUCUAUUAUUAUAGCUCUGGUUGGGUUUGUAAAAUACUAAUCACUUAAUGGGUCUAUUAUUAUAGCUCUGGUUGGGUUUGUAAAAGACUAAUCACUUAAUGGGUCUAUUAUUAUAGCUCUGGUUGGGUUUGUAAAAUACUAAUCACUUAAUGGGUCUAUUAUUAUAGCUGGUUGGGUUUGUAGCUUGGAUGAAGGGAUAUCUCUUCCCUUUGUGGACCAGUAAUUGAAGCUGAUUGGCUGCCUGUGGCAGUUCUGUGGAGCAGGCCGGAACUGAACCUCUAGCUCGCGCAGUGCUUUAAAUUACAACCAAUUUGUUCUUAAGAACAGUAGGUUUGCUAGAUUACUGAGACUCAGAGCAAAACAGAGAAGAGAAAGAAAAUAUGGACAUCUGAAGAAAGGACACCCAAGGAACCGGAGUGGACAGAAUGUGCACAUUUAUCUGAGAGCUGGUUCCCUGACUGGGGUUAUACUGUAUUAUACUUUGGCAUUGUUCUACUGGUGUGAUUAGCAAUGUGUUCUCCUGGUGGUGUGUUUUAUAGUGUAUGCAAUCACCCUGGCUGUGAAUUUGGCGGGCUGCUUUGUGUGGAUGCUGGGUGGAGGGGGCGUGACAAAUUUUGGCAUGGCCAUCAUAUGGUUGAAUCUCUUCACCCCCUGCUCCUAUGCAUGCUGGUUCAGGCCCAUCUACAAGGCCUUCAAGUAAGUGGAUUUCAUACACAUCCCUAAGGUAUCCAAGUACCACUAGAUCCUUUUAAGCUAUAACUAGGGCCCAUAGUUUUUCUUGAUCAGGCUAUGUGGUCAGGAAAACCCCCCCAAUCUUACUAUGACACCAUUAUGCUUGAUCAUAGUGAUAUACCGUCAGUCAAGGGAAAUCAGUUACCGCCAAGAGAAAUCUUGAAAAGGGGCUUAUUUAUUAACAAGUACCACACUGUGUAAUGUGCUGUGUGUCUGUGUAUUUACAAUUCAUUUUUGUUGUUCUCCGAGGACUGACAGCUCGUUCAACUUCAUGGCGUUCUUCUUUGUGUUCAUGGCCCAGGUGGGCAUCAGUAUUAUUCAGUGCAUAGGGAUCCCAGCCUGGGGAAACUGGUAAACUGCUUACACAUUCAAAUCACCUUCAAUAAUAAGCCCAUUAUAAAUGAUUAUACACUUGUAUAAAUGCUUAGAAAUGUUCCAUAAUGCAUUAUAAAUGAAAGUUAUUGUGUUACCGACAAAUGUUUAGCCAAAACAUUUAUGUCUUUAAAACAACAGCAGUAUAACCUCCUACAUUACCACAUCCUGUCACAUCAUUAACAAUGCAAUGCAAUAGAUGACAGUCAGGAAAUAGCCUCACUCAGGACAUUUAUGACUCCAUUCUGUCAUUCUGUCUGAGUUUAAGGCUGUUAAGGGCUAAAUGUCACCUGGCUUCACUUUGAUUAGCAGCUGUAAUUGUAAUGGCAGCUUUCAUAAAGUGUAUAAAUGUCAACAUUCAGAAAUGGAUGGUUUUAUAUGUGGGAUAUAAAACUUUUUUAAGGCUGAUCCAUGAUAUUAGCCUGCUACAUAAAGUGAUCAUGAUCGCUGUCAAUGUUCGGAAGGUCUUCCUAAUUUUUGGUAUACUCAGUGUACACGAGCAAAAGGUAACUGUCUUCUUCUUCUUCUCUACAUCUCUCAGCGGCUGGCUGGCCACCAUCUCUUUCUUCAGCUCCAACCUUUGGAUCGCCUUGCUGAUGCUCAUCCCCACCCUCUUUUUCACUGCCACGGCAACGCUGUCCUUCAUCGCCCUCA